UUCCGGUUGAUCCUGCCGGACCUGACUGCUAUCGGAUUGAUACUAAGCCAUGCGAGUCAUUGUAGCAAUACAAGGCAUACGGCUCAGUAACGCGUAGUCAACCUAACCUAUGGACGGGAAUAACCUCGGGAAACUGAGAAUAAUGCCCGAUAGAACACUAUAUCUGGAAUGGUUUGUGUUCCAAAUGAUUUAUCGCCGUAGGAUGGGACUGCGGCCUAUCAGUUUGUUGGUGAGGUAAUGGCCCACCAAGACUAUUACAGGUACGGGCUCUGAGAGGAGUAGCCCGGAGAUGGGUACUGAGACACGGACCCAGGCCCUAUGGGGCGCAGCAGGCGAGAAAACUUUGCAAUGUGCGAAAGCACGACAAGGUUAAUCCGAGUGAUUUGUGCUAAACGAAUCUUUUGUUAGUCCUAGAAACACUAACGAAUAAGGGGUGGGCAAGUUCUGGUGUCAGCCGCCGCGGUAAAACCAGCACCUCAAGUGGUCAGGAUGAUUAUUGGGCCUAAAGCAUCCGUAGCCGGCUCUGUAAGUUUUCGGUUAAAUCUGUACGCUUAACGUACAGGCUGCCGGGAAUACUGCAGAGCUAGGGAGUGGGAGAGGUAGACGGUACUCGGUAGGAAGGGGUAAAAUCCUUUGAUCUAUUGAUGACCACCUGUGGCGAAGGCGGUCUACCAGAACACGUCCGACGGUGAGGGAUGAAAGCUGGGGGAGCAAACCGGAUUAGAUACCCGGGUAGUCCCAGCUGUAAACUAUGCAAACUCAGUGAUGCAUUGACUUGUGGUCAAUGCAGUGCUGCAGGGAAAGCC
rnacentral:rRNA from 1 species